AGAGUUUGAUCCUGGCUCAGAUUGAAUGCUGGCGGCAGGCCUAACACAUGCAAGUCGAGCGGAUGAGUGGAGCUUGCUCCAUGAUUCAGCGGCGGACGGGUGAGUAAUGCCUAGGAAUCUGCCUGGUAGUGGGGGACAACGUUUCGAAAGGAACGCUAAUACCGCAUACGUCCUACGGGAGAAAGCAGGGGACCUUCGGGCCUUGCGCUAUCAGAUGAGCCUAGGUCGGAUUAGCUAGUUGGUGAGGUAACGGCUCACCAAGGCGACGAUCCGUAACUGGUCUGAGAGGAUGAUCAGUCACACUGGAACUGAGACACGGUCCAGACUCCUACGGGAGGCAGCAGUGGGGAAUAUUGGACAAUGGGCGAAAGCCUGAUCCAGCCAUGCCGCGUGUGUGAAGAAGGUCUUCGGAUUGUAAAGCACUUUAAGUUGGGAGGAAGGGCAGUAAGUUAAUACCUUGCUGUUUUGACGUUACCGACAGAAUAAGCACCGGCUAACUUCGUGCCAGCAGCCGCGGUAAUACGAAGGGUGCAAGCGUUAAUCGGAAUUACUGGGCGUAAAGCGCGCGUAGGUGGUUCAGCAAGUUGGAUGUGAAAGCCCCGGGCUCAACCUGGGAACUGCAUCCAAAACUACUGAGCUAGAGUACGGUAGAGGGUGGUGGAAUUUCCUGUGUAGCGGUGAAAUGCGUAGAUAUAGGAAG
rnacentral:rRNA from 1 species